rnacentral:tRNA from 56 species
GGGUGCUUAGCUCAGUUGGUAGAGCGGCGCCCUUACAAGGCGUAGGUCGGGGGUUCGAACCCCUCAGCACCCACCA